AUUGAACGCUGGCGGCAGGCCUAACACAUGCAAGUCGAACGGUAGCCCAGAGAGCUUGCUCUUGGGUGACGAGUGGCGGACGGGUGAGUAAUGUCGGGGAAACUGCCUGACGGCGGGGGAUAACUACUGGAAACGGUAGCUAAUACCGCAUAAUGUCGCAAGACCAAAGAGGGGGACCUUCGGGCCUCUUGCCGUGCGCCGUCGCCAGCUGGGAUUAGCUAGUAGGUGGGGUAAUGGCUCACCUAGGCGACGAUCCCUAGCUGGUCUGAGAGGAUGAUCAGCCACACUGGAACUGAGACACGGCCCAGACUCCUGCGGGGGGCAGCAGUGGGGAAUAUUGCACAAUGGGCGCAAGCCUGAUGCAGCCAUGCCGCGUUUAUGAAGAAGGCCUUCGGGUUGUAAAGUACUUUCAGCGAGGAGGAAGGUGGUAAGGUUAAUAACCUUAUCAAUUGACGUUACUCGCAGAAGAAGCACCGGCUAACUCCGUGCCAGCAGCCGCUGUAACAC
rnacentral:rRNA from 1 species